UGGAGGUGGUUCAGACAUGGGAUUUCAUCAGUGCAGGGGCUUCCUGUGUAGAAACUUCCUCUGGAGAGACCAAUGGUUAGCUCCUCCUUCAUGCUCAGCUUUAGGGGGUUUCAUGGGGUAGGUGGGAGCGGGAGAGCAGGUUCUGUUCUGUGCAUGUUAUCAAUUAUGGACAAGAUGCUCUUGGUACACGGCAGGUGGGAUGGAGGCUUUCAGGGGAGUUCUCAGUCCCCCAGAGACAGCUCUACCAGGCAGAGCGGAGGGGGUCGCCAAGCCCAAGGUCUUCCUGCUGUCCACGUUCGAGCUGGACAAGUUCGACUUCCAGCUGCUCAGCGAGGUCAUAGUGAGAGACCUGGAGAGCUCCAAGCGCCACGCCUUCCUGCUGGCCCUGCCCAACGUGUCCAACGCCGUCCUGGAGAAGAAGGCCGGCUCCAUGCUCCAGCACAUUUGGCUCGUGGCCACCGUGGCCUGCACCGUGAACCCGCUGCCGGUGCCCGGGGUGCCCGAGGUGGCCUGCGACCUGGGGCUGCUGGUGCGCGCCCUGUCCGGCUACCGCCGCGGCCUGGGGCUGGAGGCGGGCGGCCUGCAGCGGCUGGCCCAGCGCACCGGCGGCUCCCUGCAGGCCAUGCAGAGCAGGGUGUGCGGGCCGCUGUGCGAGGCCAGCCCUCGGCAGGUGAUCGACUUCCUGGGCCGCGCCUGCGGGAGCACCACGGCCACCUUCGCGCAGGAGCUGGCGUCCCUGCCCAUGCUGGGCGUGCUGGCCUCCUGCAGCUUCUCCUUCGCCACCGUGUACCAGAUGCUCCGCGCCUACCUGGACAAGGCCACGGCGGAGGCCAAGAAAACCCUGAGCCAGGCCUUGCCCACGGGCCAGUGAGCGGGGCGACGGCCGGGAACCCCCCCUCCCCCCGCUCUGUGGCCAGGCAGCCCUGCCCAGCCCUAUGGGAGUGGGCCGGGCGGUCGGGAGGACCAAGAAACUCUCACCUCCAGAAAACCGCUUUGUGGUUCUUUGUGUCCCGUCUCAGCCGC
rnacentral:lncRNA from 1 species